rnacentral:rRNA from 1 species
GACGAACGCUGGCGGCGUGCCUAAUACAUGCAAGUUGAGCGCUGAAGGUUGGUCCUUGUACCAACUGGAUGAGCAGCGAACGGGUGAGUAACGCGUGGGGAAUCUGCCUUUGAGCGGGGGACAACAUUUGGAAACGAAUGCUAAUACCGCAUAAAAACUUUAAACACAAGUUUUAAGUUUGAAAGAUGCAAUUGCAUCACUCAAAGAUGAUCCCGCGUUGUAUUAGCUAGUUGGUGAGGUAAAGGCUCACCAAGGCGAUGAUACAUAGCCGACCUGAGAGGGGGAUCGGCCAAAUUGGGAAUGGGACACGGCCCAAACUCCUGCGGGAGGCAGCGGGAGGGAAUCUUCGGCAAUGGACGAAAGUCUGAACGAGCAACGCCGCGUGAGUGCAGAAGGGUGUCGGAUCGUAAAACUCGGUUGGUAGAGAAGAACGUUGGUGAGAGUGGAAAGCUCAUCAAGUGACGGUAACUACCCAGAAAGGGACGGCUAACUACGUG